CAUGGUGAAACUCUGUCUCUACUAAAAAUACAAAAAUUAGCUGGGCGUGGUAGCAGUUGCCUGUAAUCCCAGCAACUCAGGAGGCCGAGGCAGGAGAAUCGUUUGAACCCAGGAGGCAGAGGUUGCAGUGAACCAAGAUCAUGCCAUUGCACUCCAGCUUGGGCAACAGGGUGAGACUCCGUCUCAAAAAAAGAAAAAACGAAACAAAAAAAAUACCAAAAAAACAGCAUAAUCCUAAUACCGAAACUAGAUAAAGGCGUUACAAGAAAAGAAAACUAUAGACCAAUAUCUUUCAUGAACAAAGAUGCAAAAAUCCUCAACAAAUUAUUAGCAAAUUGAAUACAACAGUGUUUAAAAAGAAUUAUAGACUGUGUGUGGUGACUCACACCUAUAAUCCUAGCAUUUUGGGAGGCCAAGGCAGGAGGAACACAUAAGCUCAGGAGUUUGAGACCAGCCUGGGUAACAUAGUGAGACCUCAUCUCUACAAAAAACUUAAAAAUUAGCCAGACAUGGUGGUGUGUGACUGUAAUCCUAGCUACUUGAGUGGCUGAGGUGGGAGGAUUGCUUGAGCCUGGGAGGUCGCGGAUGCAGUGAGCCAUGAUUGUGCCACUGCACUCCAGCCUGGGCAACAAAGCAAGACACUGUCUAAAAAAAAAAAAAUCAAUUUGUGUAAUCCAUCACGUCAAUAGGUUAAAGAAGAAAACUCAUAUGAUCACAGCAAUAGAUGCAGAAAAAGCAUUUAAUAAAAUUCAGCACCUGUUCAUGAUAAGAAUUCACCCUGGGGCUUUUUAUAAAAAUUAAGAAGAUAGUAAUAACUUUUACCUGGAUAAAUUAUUGGUCAAGCAUACUGGGAGAGUUGACUCACUUUGCUAGAGUUUUGUUUUCUAUUUUUCUUUUUUUCUUUUUUCUUUUAUUUUUUUUAAGAGAUGGAGUCUCGCUCCGUCACCCAGGCUCCCAGGCUGGAGUGCAAUGGCAUGAUCUCGGCUCACUGCAACCUCCGCCUCCCAGGUUCAAGCGAUUCUGCUGCCUCAGCCUCCCAAGUUGCUGGGACUACAGGCAUGUGCCACUACGCCUGGCUAAUUUUUGUAUUUUUAAUAGAGACAGGGUUUCACCAUGUUGGCCAGGCUGGUCUUAAACUCCUGACCNNNNNNNNNNNNNNNNNNNNNNNNNNNNNNNNGUGCGAUAGGAGAUUUAAACAUCC
rnacentral:lncRNA from 1 species